rnacentral:rRNA from 1 species
UACGUAGGGGGCAAGCGUUGUCCGGAAUCAUUGGGCGUAAAGAGCGUGUAGGCGGCUCGGUAAGUCCGCUGUGAAAGUCCAGGGCUCAAACCCUGGAAUGGCCGGUGGAAACUGUCGAGCUAGAGUCCGGAAGAGGCGAAGUGGAAUUCCUGGUGUAGCGGUGAAAUGGCGCAGGAUAUCAGGAGGAACACCAAUGGCGAAGGCAGCUCGCU